GAUGAAGAACGUAGCGAAAUGCGAUAAGUAGUGUGAAUUGCAGAAUUCAGUGAAUCAUCGAAUCUUUGAACGCACAUUGCGCCCCUUGGUAUUCCAUGGGGCAUGCCUGUUCGAGCGUCAUUUGUACCCUCAAGCUAAGCUUGGUGUUGGGUGUUUGUCCACUCCCUCGUGUUUGGACUCGCCUUAAAACAAUUGGCAGCCAGUGUUUUGGUAUUGAAGCGCAGCACAAUUUGCGAUUCUAGCCUAGAAUACUAGCAUCCAUCAAGUCAUUUUUAACGCUUGUCCUCGGAUCAGGUAGGGAUACCCGCUGAACUUAAGCAUAUCAAUAAGCGGAGGA
rnacentral:misc_RNA from 1 species